UACAGAGGGUGCGAGCGUUGUUCGGAAUUAUUGGGCGUAAAGGGCGCGUAGGCGGUGCGGCAAGUCACCUGUGAAAACUCUGGGCUUAACCCAGAGCCUGCAUUCAAUACUGACAGGCUAGAGUUCUGGAGGGGAUAGCGGAAUUCCUGGUGUAGCGGUGAAAUGCGUAGAUAUCAGGAGGAACACCGGUGGCGAAGGCGGCUAUCUGGACAGAGUCUGACGCUGAGGCGCGAAAGCUAGGGGAGCAAACAGG
rnacentral:rRNA from 1 species